UCGGGAAUUUUGGGCAAUGGGCGCAAGCCUGACCCAGCAACGCCGUGUGAGCGAUGAAGGCCCUCGGGUCGUAAAGCUCUGUCGGGAGGGAAGAAAGGUCGCCGUUCGAAUAGGGCGGGGGCUUGACGGUACCUCCAAAGGAAGGACCGGCUAACUCCGUGCCAGCAGCCGCGGUAAUACGGAGGGUCCAAGCGUUGUUCGGAAUUACUGGGCGUAAAGCGAGUGUAGGCGGCUUGGCAAGUCGGGUGUGAAAUCCCAGGGCCCAACCCUGGAACUGCACCCGAAACUGCUUGGCUGGAGUCCCGGAGAGGAUGGCGGAAUUUCCGGUGUAGAGGUGAAAUUCGUAGAUACCGGAAGGAACACCAGUGGCGAAGGCGGCCAUCUGGACGGUGACUGACGCUGAGACUCGAAAGCGUGGGGAGCAAACAGGAUUAGAUACCCCCGUAGUCC
rnacentral:rRNA from 1 species